UGAUAUGGGAGAGAAAUGUGUCAAAAUGACACAUUUUUUUGGACUGAACAACUAGAUAGAUGGCAAUGGAAUUUAUUAAAACAGGAAAUGUAUAAGAAGGGGAGCUUUGCAGGAAGAAAAGAGCAAGGGCCCUACUCAAGCAUAUUGUUGGAUUUGAGACAAAUGAUUUGGGAAAUUGCUCUUGGAAGUCAACCUCUUCAAUUCAAAUUUUAAGUGUUCUAAUUUCCUCAGAGACCAAGGGAAAGGCCACAUUUUGAUUAGAUUAUAUUUAUUUAUAUGUGCUUAAACAAGCUGUGAAGGACUGUAGCAAGGGUGCAGAAUUACAGGCUUAGAAAACAGAGACAUUGAAUAGAAUGGGAACUGCUGAUGGGUUUACACACACUCAUAUGUGCACACAUAAACACACACUCCAAAUGCUCAAGAUACUGAUAGAUUAACAACCAAACACAGUCAAUUCAGAGUUUAUAUCAUGUCCUCUUCACAUUGCAACCAAAGUUCUAUUAUAUGAAAGUGAGGAGUAGAAAGGAUUCCUCUGUGGGUAAAAAGGUUGAAUUGUCAUGGGCAGCUCAUUCUGAGCUUUUACCAGGUCAUGCCUCUAGACAUUUUAUGAAUAUUAAUUGAUGUAUUACUGCAUCCACCCCUCCCACUGCCAGGCUUCCUGGAGUCCUGCCCUGCAGACCAGAGAGCGCCACGCAGAGAAGGCUCUGGCCACCCCGCCGGCCUGGUAACAGUUUAUGAACACUUGCCAGUCACAGCUUUGCUAAUGUUCUAUCGCUGUGCUAGACAAUAUGGUCAAAAGGGUUUUUUCUCUAUCAUCUAGUCUCUUUCUCUGUCUCUCUCUCUCUCUCUGUCUCUCCUCACCACUGCCUGCUCUCUCUUUCCCUCCCUCCUUCUCUCUCUCUCUCUCAUUAGAUCUUUCUUAAACCACAAAGAGUCUCUGAGAGAUACAACUGCAUAAGAUAAAGGCACAAUUAUAGAAUUUGUUCAAAACAGAUAAAGAGUAUCACAGCCAGACUCAGAUAUGCAUAAUGGAAUUUUAUAUGUUGUAAUAAUCCAAGCUAAAAAAAAGAAGAGUGUAGUACUAUUUCAAUUGAGUUCAGUGUCCUCGACUUACUGAGAUGUUUUUUUGCCAUGUAAAUUUGCAGCUUGUGCGAUGGGGAGACUCUCAAGGCUUUGUGACUGCUGUUGGCUUCUUGGAAUGUUCCAGAUCAAUACAGACAGAGUUAAUAGUACCAUACAAGUCUAUAAAACUCCACAAACUAGCCAUAUUUAGAAAUACAGCUAGUGUACUUGCAGCAAACAAUAUGUCCAUUUAGUACUUUCUAAUACUUACUGUCAUCCAAUUUCUAAUACUUAGGUACUUAACUGUUCCCCUUCCCCUAAAUGUACUACCUCUUGAACUCUUAAAAUCUCUCAGUAUCUAUUCACAUGCAAGCAUAUGAGAAAAAGGGUGGUUGUACUUCUCAGGAGUGGCCCCCAAAUUUCUACAUCAGAGUAGCAUAUGGAAAUGAAUUUAAUUGAACAAGGGUAAGGAGAAGGGGUUGAAGCUGGGUUUACAGAGCACUUUGCAUAAGAAUGAGAAAAUGCCAACAGACUUCAUCAAAUAAUUGGAAGAGGAGUGUGGAGAAUGUUGAAGAUUAUGGGUUAGCUUGGGAAGACUUUCCUAGCCAUGGUUAGGUAACACCACCCAUACUUCUACACUAUAAUUUUGUUUAGCCAUUAAUGAUAUCUCAUACAUACACUUUGAUUUUUUCCCCAAUUAGCCAUGUAGCUUUAAAAACCAUAACAUUUUGAAAUAGUUCAUCCUGACCAACAACUCAGGAUAUUCAACCAUAAUCUUUGUUUCCUAAACCAGAAGGGUAGAUAAAUAAGAACAAUAGAUUACGCUUUUGGAAAACCAGAUCCUGUUCCUGGCACUGUCACUAAUUAACUGGGAAAUUCUGAACAAGUCUUUUCAUCUCUCUGGGAAUCUAUUUCCUCAUCUGUAAAAUUACUGAAUGCAGAGAGCCCCCAGGGUCCUUUCCAGCUUAUAUUCUAUGAGUCCAUCAAUCUCUAUGUGAUUGUGGAAGUAAAUUCCUUGAAAGAGCCACAAGUAUAGCUGCUUUGUACCAUAAUCAGCAAAGUCCUGUCUGCAUAUAAACUCAAGAAAAGCGAUUGAAGGCUGAUGAAGAUAUCAUUUUUAGUUUGUGUUAUGAAGCUGGCUUGGAUAGGAAUUAGAACAUGGAAAGCAAUAAAGUUUUGAAUUGUACUGAAAACUUACUAUGUGCCAGACUGACACUCUCUUACGCAUUUUACAUCAUUAUCUUAUUUAAUGUCACCGUAAAACCUACUGCAUAAAUAGGUAA
rnacentral:lncRNA from 1 species